UACGAAGGGGGCUAGCGUUGCUCGGAAUCACUGGGCGUAAAGGGCGCGUAGGCGGCCAUUCAAGUCGGAGGUGAAAGCCCAGGGCUCAACCCUGGAAUUGCCUUCGAUACUGUUUGGCUAGAGACCGGAAGAGGUAAGUGGAACUGCGAGUGUAGAGGUGAAAUUCGUAGAUAUUAGGAAGAACACCAGUGGCGAAGGCGGCUCACUGGCCCGGUACUGACGCUGAGGCGCGAAAGCGUGGGGAGCAAACAGG
rnacentral:rRNA from 1 species